UACGAAGGGGGCUAGCGUUGCUCGGAAUCACUGGGCGUAAAGGGCGCGUAGGCGGCCAUUCAAGUCGGGGGUGAAAGCCUGUGGCUCAACCACAGAAUUGCCUUCGAUACUGUUUGGCUUGAGUAUGGUAGAGGUUGGUGGAACUGCGAGUGUAGAGGUGAAAUUCGUAGAUAUUCGCAAGAACACCAGUGGCGAAGGCGGCUUACUGGUCCGGUUCUGACGCUGAGGCGCGAAAGCGUGGGGAGCAAACAGG
rnacentral:rRNA from 1 species